rnacentral:rRNA from 1 species
GACGAACGCUGGCGGCGUGCUUAACACAUGCAAGUCGAACGGAAAGGCCCUGCUUUUGUGGGGUGCUCGAGUGGCGAACGGGUGAGUAACACGUGAGUAACCUGCCCUUGACUUUGGGAUAACUUCAGGAAACUGGGGCUAAUACCGGAUAGGAGCUCCUGCUGCAUGGUGGGGGUUGGAAAGUUUCGGCGGUUGGGGAUGGACUCGCGGCUUAUCAGCUUGUUGGUGGGGUAGUGGCUUACCAAGGCUUUGACGGGUAGCCGGCCUGAGAGGGUGACCGGCCACAUUGGUACUGAGAUACGGCCCAGACUCCUACGGGAGGCAGCAGUGGGGAAUAUUACACAAUGGGCGGAAGCCUGAUGCAGCAACGCCGCGUGCGGGAUGACGGCCUACGGGUUGUAAACCGCUUUCGCCUGUGACGAAGCGUGAGUGACGGUAAUGGGUAAAGAAGCACCGGCUAACUACGUG